rnacentral:rRNA from 1 species
GACGAACGCUGGCGGCGUGCUUAACACAUGCAAGUCGAGCGGUAAGGCCCUUUCGGGGGGUACACGAGCGGCGAACGGGUGAGUAACACGUGGGUGACCUGCCCUCAGCUCUGGGAGUAAGCCCGGGAAACUGGGGUCUAAUACUGGAUAUGACUCCAUGACGCAUGUUGUGGGGUGGAAAGCCUUGUGCGGCUGGGGAUGGGCCCGCGGCCGUAUCAGCUUGUUGGUGGGGUGAUGGCCUACCAAGGCGACGACGGGUAGCCGGCCUGAGAGGGCGACCGG